AACAGGUUGAAAAAAGAUUGUGGCCUCACAUUCCACCUGAAGCACAUUGCUUGGUCCAAUCUAUGGUUUUCUUGGUAGAAAGAGCUCUCAAAUGACACCGAAAAGUACUGCAAGAAAGGGGCCAAGACACUGAACAAAGAAGGAAUCUCUGUAAUGACUCAUUGCGUUGAAUGCCCUGGCCAAACAGUGCGCAACUGCAUACUGUGGAGGAGCACACUGGAAGACAUGAUUGCCAGGAAGGAAAUGCAUACUCAUUUGGAGUCAUCGUUCGUCCAAGUCUUGCCAAUUGCUCUUAAUUGCAGCGAGCAAUCACGCCAUGCUCCAUACUCAGAAACCGUGCUCUAAGCUGGGUUUUUACUCACUCGGAGAGACUUCUGUGGAGUAGUCGAAGCAUCAUCUGUAAUCCUUUGGACUUCAUCAGGGCCAAAGAAGAUAAAUUUUUAUUCAACUAUCAUGAAAUGACCUGGGCACACCAAGAGCCUGCAUUAUUUUUGUUUAUUUGCUCCUUGUGAAAUUACCCGGCGCCCUCCAGUGCCUGCAUUGACUGUGUAUAAGGACCGAUGCUAUGAAUUCGUGGCUUUGUUUCAAUAAAACAUGGCAUCAACAAUUUUCCCCACC